GGGCGCUUAGACAUACCCAUGUCGAAGCGUUAGCCAAAACAUGGAUAUGAAAAAGCCCCGAAUGAACUAUAAAUUCAAACGAGGCCUUUACCAUGUAUAAGCAACUUGAUAAUAGCCUCUUACUUCAUAGGAGGCAAGUUAUG
rnacentral:antisense_RNA from 17 species